UACAUCACUACUCUCCUCCGUGAUUGGCUGCAGGUCAACUCAUCCGCCUGCCGUGCAGCAUCCACAGCAGCACCGUUUCAAAAUCAACCUCAUCACCACCACCAUCAUCCUCCUCACGUUUUGAUUGCAUACCGCGUGGGUGUGCGCGUUUUCCUUUUCUUGCACUGGCGGCUCGUUUCGAGGAUGGCUGAGAGCGAGGUAGACACGCCAAGCACGCCCAUCGAGUUUGAUAGCAAAUACUUCGAGUUCGAUGGAGUGCGGCUGCCACCCUUCUGCAGAGGGAAGAUGGAGGAGAUUGCCAACUUCUCGCUCAGAAGUAGCGACAUAUGGAUCGUCACCUACCCAAAGUCAGGCACUAGUCUACUUCAGGAGGUGGUGUAUCUAGUGAGUCAGGGAGCAGACCCAGAUGAGAUCGGCCUCAUGAACAUUGAUGAACAGCUGCCCGUCUUAGAGUACCCCCAACCUGGCCUGGACAUCAUACAGGAGCUGACGUCCCCUCGUCUGAUCAAAAGCCAUCUUCCCUAUCGAUUCCUCCCCACGGCCAUGCACAACGGAGAGGCCAAGGUGAUCUACAUGGCUCGUAACCCUAAGGACCUGGUGGUGUCUUACUACCAGUUCCACCGCUCUCUCAGGACCAUGAGCUACCGGGGAACCUUCCAGGAGUUCUGCCGGCGCUUCAUGCAUGACAAGCUGGGAUAUGGUUCCUGGUUUGAACAUGUUCAGGAAUUCUGGGAACAUCGUAAUGACUCUAAUGUCCUCUUCUUGAAAUAUGAAGACAUGUACAAGGAUCUGGGGCCAUUGGUGGAACAGUUAGCCCGGUUCCUGGGUGUUUCCUGUGACAAGGCUCAGCUGGAGGGCAUGGUGGAGAGCUGCAACCAGCUCAUUGAGCAGUGCUGCAACUCGGAGGCGCUGUCCAUCUGCAGGGUGCAUGGAAGUCUGGUGUCUGAUGUGCUAUAGGCUUAACACACAGCUGACAGCUGUCAGUCUGAUCCGUCUUACACACGCCACAGCAGGUCGUGCAGGUCUGUGGAAGGAUGUCUUCACAGUGUCUAUGAAUGAAAACUUUGACGCUGUGUACAGACAGAAGAUGGGCAAGUCCGACCUGACCUUUGACUUCUGCCUGUGAGGAGUACCUGAUCGCCACUCUCUACCCUCACGGAUCGGCUCCAGUACAGUUGACCAAACCCACGCUCCUACUGUACGCCUCCAUUCAGUCAAUAUGUCUGAAGUCCAAUGGUACAGUCUGACAGUGGGAUUACACUCCAAGACUUUUCCCAGAAUGCAAUCUGUCUCAAGUCAACAAGACAUAAAAAAUUCCACCCUCGUGGACAGAUCAAAAUCAAUCCAGAUUUAUUGGGAAUUUAUUGAAAUUUCUCAGUCAAUAGUUAAACCAAACCUCCCUCAACCCCUACCUCCACAGUAUGUCCCCACUGCUGUGUAUGUAUAUGUGUAUAUAGUAACCAGGGUUCGACUGAUAUAGGUUUUUUUGAAGGCUGAUUUCAAUACUUUUGAGCUGAAGUAUUGGUCAACAUUUCUUUUCAAAAUCUCCCACAAUAUGACCGCGUUCACAACAGGGAUUCAAGCUACGUGCAGAUAUUUGUAACUGAAAUACAGAGAAAAUCACACACCAAUAUAUCUGAACAGAGAAGAACAACCAGUUCAGCCAUGCAAUGUUUUUAUUUGAUGGCUGUCCCUCUUCUAGGCAGGAUUACUCUCUAUUUUUUUGUUGAUCCAUUAAGGCCAUGGGUAUGCUAGAAAGGAAUGAAUGCUAGCUAAUUUGGCUGGCAGAACGCUGAACAAGACAUUUUUAGGCAACCAAAAUGUCCCAUUGAACUUUGAC